CGGAAGGUCCAGGCGUUAUCCGGAUUUAUUGGGUUUAAGGGAGCGUAGGCUGGAGAUUAAGUGUGUUGUGAAAUGUAGACGCUCAACGUCUGACUUGCAGCGCAUACUGGUUUCCUUGAGUACGCACAACGUUGGCGGAAUUCGUCGUGUAGCGGUGAAAUGCUUAGAUAUGACGAAGAACUCCGAUUGCGAAGGCAGCUGACGGGAGCGCAACUGACGCUUUAAAGCUCGAAGGUGCGGGUAUCAAACAGGAUU
rnacentral:rRNA from 1 species